rnacentral:lncRNA from 1 species
UAAAAACAUAUGAAACAAUAGGAGAUAUAUCAAGUACUCCAUAAAUAUCUCUUCAAUGAAGGAAAAGUUAGUAAACCUCUUUUUAAAAGUAUUGUGAAGAUUAACUGUGAUAGAUUUGGAAACACUUUAUAAAUUCUUUUAAACUGCUAAUUGAUAUCACUUUUAGGCUAAUUGUGAUCCAGGUUAUGUUUACUACUCUUAGAGGUUAUGAAAAUAGGAAUAGUAUUUGAUCUUGAAAAAUAUAUGUAUUUCUAAAAAAUUCUUAUUUACUGUAUCCCCUCCUAGAUAUCUUCCACAGGUUUUAACAUAUCAGUUUGAAUAAGGCACAGAAUUAAAACAAUGUACUCCUUCAUGGGAUUGAGUCACAUGUCUACCUCUAAAGAAAUCACUAGAAAGGGAAGUGAGAUUAUAGUACUGAAAUUAAGGAAGCACAUUGCUAUGUGGUGAAUGAAUUACCUGGAAAAAAAGAAAGGCUCUAACAAAAGAAGAAAGGAAGGAUGGAAUAGAAACUGACAUUCCAUCUUCUGUAUCUUCCUAGUCAUCCUACAUUCAAGCAAAAUUUUGUUCUGUAUCCUUUCUUGAAGUCUUCUUUUUUGCUCUACUCUAUCAUAAACAUGUCUCCAUG